UUUUUUUCUGCUCAGUUGACAAACUGUAUCGAAUGUGAAAUAUGUGCCAGGCAUGGGACCACACGUUGGAGACAACAAGCACAAAUAGGAUAGAGCUUCCUGGGCACGGGCUGUGGUCUCACACAUUGGCUUAUGCCCUCUAUGCUGAAAACUUUUAAAACUGUAAAAUGUACAUCUCAAGCACAUCAAAGAUGGUGACAGAGAAG
rnacentral:lncRNA from 10 species